rnacentral:rRNA from 1 species
UACGAAGGGGGCUAGCGUUGCUCGGAAUCACUGGGCGUAAAGCGCACGUAGGCGGAUUUCUAAGUCGGGGGUGAAAUCCUGGAGCUCAACUCCAGAACUGCCUUCGAUACUGGAAGUCUUGGGUCCGGGAGAGGUGAGUGGAACUGCGAGUGUAGAGGUGAAAUUCGUAGAUAUUCGCAAGAACACCAGUGGCGAAGGCGGCUCACUGGCCCGGUACUGACGCUGAGACGCGAAAGCGUGGGGAGCGAACAGG